ensembl:lncRNA
GCUCAUGGCUUUCACUGGUAUUGGUUUAUUUCUGUCUGGACUCAUAGGAUUCAUCUGUCUGUGCCGCUUUACCAGUUCUGCUGAUGUUCUCACAGAACUGAACUACAUCUCCUGCCAGAUGGAAACAACAUCUCUUUUAACUUCCUCUGUGUGCUCCUCAAAACAUGAAUGACUUGUUUACUUUCUUCACUUGUUGCCUUUAAACACAAAAAAUGAUAUGUACAGAAAGAUAAUACAGUAUUUAGCUACUGAAUUUAUAUACUGAUCAGCAGACCACACAGAAUCUGUGGAGCUUUUUUUCCCCACAUUUUGAUUUUGGGAGAAAAUAGAUUUUUUUUUAUGGGUAAAAUGUGUUAAAUGUAGGUGAAAGUCAUCUGUGGAGUUAAGAUGCAGAUUCAUUACAAGAUCAGAGAUCGGUACAGAUCUGAGGCUUAAGAAAUAUAAAAUCUAAUUUAUGUCAUUUUUUUGUAUUUUAUUUUUUUAUCAACAAUUGUAACAUAUACAUGUACAAGAGUACAUGUAUAAUAAAGUUGCAGCAUGGUAUAAACAAUUUCAUAAAAUUUGCAUAAUGCCUUUAAUUUGUAAUAUUUUCAGUUUCAGUUGUCUGAUCAAAGAGCAACUGACCGCUUGACAUUGUCUGCAUGUUUUAUGCAUUAAUGAGCAAACGUGUACCUAAUAAAGAGACUACAAGGUGAAUAAUGUAUUCCACAUUCUUAAUUUUGUUAUUAUGAUCUUAUGUUUUUCAAGUGUAUUAAUGGUACAGAUGUUUUUGGCACAUUUAUGUGUUACUUUUACAAAACUACCUUCCUUCUUUUAGUCUUUGCCCCAGAUCUGUCGUCUGUUAAAGUGAAUAUAGCUGUACAUGUGGUCUCACGAUCUGUGUUCAUCUUCAUAACUGGCUGUUCAAUGCAUUAAUAGUUUGUGGUCUGAUGUUCCACUUCCUUAUUCACCCAUUAUUAGAGUCUCAUUCUGUAUCUUCUCUCACACUCGCUGUUAUGGAGCUGUUCAUCUUCAUAGUUUUUCAGCUCCUGAUGGAGGUUCAGUCUCACCAAUUUCCUAGAGUAAAAGUAUCUCCAGAUGUCAUAAGAGAGUCCAGCGCAGUGAAGAUCAGCUGUGAGACAGAAACACAUGUUACAGCGAAUAAAUGUUAUUUCUACAUAAACAGAGAGGAGAAGAAAAUGAAAACCAGUCCAUCAUGUGAGCUGGAUCUCACUGGUGCUGAAGUGUUCAGAUGGGCAGCUGUAAAAUCACCUGAAUCACUCAACAUUAUCUGUUACUACACAAUGAUAAAUGUGCAAGGCUCAUUCAUAACAUCAUCUGAAUCUGAUCCUGCCACAGUGACAGUUCUAGUUUCAACAUCAACCACUACUGAAAAAACUACUUCAACAGCCAUGAAAACCUCAUUAACUGUAAUGUCCACUUCUGAAACUACAACAUACAGUAAAACUACAGACCUCCAAUUCAAGACAAACACGCCAAACAGUACGGCAAAGGAAACCAUGAAUACAUUGUUAAUAGUGCUGGUCUCCAUUGGUGUUGCUGGAAGUUUGUCUGGACUCAUGGGACUCAUCUGUCUGUGCUGGUUUGCAUGUAAAAAAAGAAGAAAACCCAAUAAAAUGAAAUCAAUAAAAACAGAUGCGCCCAUUCAAGAAACUGGUAUAGUGAGUAUCUGUGCAUUUAAAAUCUUUAAAAUCAUGAAUUAACAAAUAUAUUUCUAAUAUAUCAUAGCAAAUAUGAAUGGCUGAAAGAAACUUGACCUGUAUUACUGGUUAUGUUAUUUAGAGUUGUUCUGGAUCUGCAGAGAACUGAAUUCAUAUUUUGAUUUUGGUAGAAAAUAAAUGUUAUAUUGGUGAAAUGUGUUAAAUGUAG